rnacentral:rRNA from 1 species
UGGUCACGUCUGCUGUGGAAACGCAACGCUUAACGUUGCGCGGGCAGUGGGUACGGGCUGACUAGAGUGCAGUAGGGGAGUCUGGAAUUCCUGGUGUAGCGGUGAAAUGCGCAGAUAUCAGGAGGAACACCGGUGGCGAAGGCGGGACUCUGGGCUGUAACUGACACUGAGGAGCGAAAGCAUGGGGAGCGAACAGGAUUAGAUACCCUGGUAGUCCAUGCCGUAAACGUUGGGCACUAGGUGUGGGGGGCAUUCCACGUUCUCCGCGCCGUAGCUAACGCAUUAAGUGCCCCGCCUGGGGAGUACGGUCGCAAGGCUAAAACUCAAAGGAAUUGACGGGGGCCCGCACAAGCGGCGGAGCAUGCGGAUUAAUUCGAUGCAACGCGAAGAACCUUACCAAGGCUUGACAUACACUGGACCGUUCUGGAAACAGUUCUUCUCUUUGGAGCUGGUGUACAGGUGGUGCAUGGUUGUCGUCAGCUCGUGUCGUGAGAUGUUGGGUUAAGUCCCGCAACGAGCGCAACCCUCGUUCUAUGUUGCCAGCACGUGAUGGUGGGAACUCAUAGGAGACUGCCGGGGUCAACUCGGAGGAAGGUGGGGAUGACGUCAAAUCAUCAUGCCCUUUAUGUCUUGGGCUUCACGCAUGCUACAAUGGCUGGUACAGAGAGAGGCGAACCCGUGAGGGUGAGCGAAUCCCUUAAAGCCAGUCUCAGUUCGGAUCGUAGUCUGCAAUUCGACUACGUGAAGUCGGAGUCGCUAGUAAUCGCAGAUCAGCAACGCUGCGGUGAAUACGUUCCCGGGCCUUGUACACACCGCCCGUCAAGUCACGAAAGUCGGUAACACCCGAAGCCGGUGUCCUAACCUCCUUGUGGGGAGGGGGCCGUCUAAGGUGGGACUGGUGAUUGGGACUAAGUCGUAACAAGGUAGCA